rnacentral:rRNA from 1 species
GAAUAUUGGACAAUGGGGGGAACCCUGAUCAAGCCAUGCCGCGUGUGUGAAGAAGGCCGUUUGGUUGUAAAGCACUUUAAGCGAGGAGGAGGCUACUCUAGUUGAUACCUAGAGAUAGUGGACGUUACUCCUAGACUAAGCACCGGCUAACUAUGUGCCAGCAGCCGGGGUAAUACAGAGGGUGCAAGCGUUCAUCGGAUUUACUGGGCGUAAAGCGCGCGUAGGUGGCCAAUUAAGUCAAAUGUGAAAUCCCCGAGCUUAACUUGGGAAUUGCAUUCGAUACUGGUUGGCUAGAGUAUGGGAGAGGAUGGUAGAAUUCCAGGUGUAGCGGUGAAAUGCGUAGAGAUCUGGAGGAAUACCGAUGGCGAAGGCAGCCAUCUGGCCUAAUACUGACACUGAGGUGCGAAAGCAUGGGGAGCAAACA